rnacentral:rRNA from 1 species
GUAACAAGGUUUCCGUAGGUGAACCUGCGGAAGGAUCAUUAUUGAACAAAACUUGAUAAGUUGUAGCUGGCACCUAUGGGGGCAUGUGCACGCUUAUCAUCUUUAUUUUUCCACCUGUGCACUUUUAUGUAGACCUUGGGAAUAGCAUUCUGAGGCAACUCAGUCUGAAGGGGAGAGUCACAGCUUUCCUUGUAUUUCCUUGGUCUAUGUUUUCAUAUACUCUUAAUGUAUGUAACAGAAUGUAUGAAAUGGGCCUUUGUGCCUAUAAACUAUAUACAACUUUCAGCAACGGAUCUCUUGGCUCUCGCAUCGAUGAAGAACGCAGCGAAAUGCGAUAAGUAAUGUGAAUUGCAGAAUUCAGUGAAUCAUCGAAUCUUUGAACGCACCUUGCGCUCCUUGGUAUUCUGAGGAGCAUGCCUGUUUGAGUGUCAUUAAAUUCUCAAUCUUACCUUCUUUUGAAAUAAAAUUGGGUAUGACUUGGAUAUGGGGGUUUUACCUGUGCAGGCUUCUGAUGGAAGUCAGCUCCCCUGAAAUGUAUUAGCGGGUCCCCUCUGUGGAAUCGUCUAUUGGUGUGAUAAUUAUCUACGCUUUUAGGCCUUUCUCGGUUUUUUAUAUAUGGGGGUGGAGUGCUUCUAACUGUCCUAUCUUUUGGACAAUAAUAAUGACAAUUUUGACCUCAAAUCAGGUAGGACUACCCGCUGAACUUAAGCAUAUCAAUAAGCGGAGGAAAAGAAACUAACAAGGAUUCCCCUAGUAACUG